CGAUGAACCACUUCGGUGGGGAUUAGUGGCGAACGGGUGAGUAACACGUGGGCAAUCUGCCCUUCACUCUGGGACAAGCCCUGGAAACGGGGUCUAAUACCGGAUAACACUCCCACUCUCCUGAGUGGGGGUUAAAAGCUCCGGCGGUGAAGGAUGAGCCCGCGGCCUAUCAGCUUGUUGGUGAGGUAAUGGCUCACCAAGGCGACGACGGGUAGCCGGCCUGAGAGGGCGACCGGCCACACUGGGACUGAGACACGGCCCAGACUCCUACGGGAGGCAGCAGUGGGGAAUAUUGCACAAUGGGCGAAAGCCUGAUGCAGCGACGCCGCGUGAGGGAUGACGGCCUUCGGGUUGUAAACCUCUUUCAGCAGGGAAGAAGCGAAAGUGACGGUACCUGCAGAAGAAGCGCCGGCUAACUACGUGCCAGCAGCCGCGGUAAUACGUAGGGCGCAAGCGUUGUCCGGAAUUAUUGGGCGUAAAGAGCUCGUAGGCGGCUUGUCACGUCGGGUGUGAAAGCCCGGGGCUUAACCCCGGGUCUGCAUUCGAUACGGGCUAGCUAGAGUGUGGUAGGGGAGAUCGGAAUUCCUGGUGUAGCGGUGAAAUGCGCAGAUAUCAGGAGGAACACCGGUGGCGAAGGCGGAUCUCUGGGCCAUUACUGACGCUGAGGAGCGAAAGCGUGGGGAGCGAACAGGAUUAGAUACCCUGGUAGUCCACGCCGUAAACGGUGGGAACUAGGUGUUGGCGACAUUCCACGUCGUCGGUGCCGCAGCUAACGCAUUAAGUUCCCCGCCU
rnacentral:rRNA from 1 species